rnacentral:rRNA from 1 species
AUAUUAAUAUAAUUAUUAUUUAUUAUAUAAUUUACUUUAAAUUAUAAAAAGUAUUUAUUUGUUUAUUAUAUUGUAUAGAAAUACAUUUAAUAUUUAAUUAUAGAUUAUUAGUACUGUGAAGGAAGUUUGAUUAUUAUAUAAAAGUAUAAUUUAAUUUUAGUACCUUUUGUAUCAGGGUUUAUUAAAAAUAUAUAAUAUAUUUUAUAUUCUCGAAAUAAUAAGAUAUAUAUUAUUAUGGUUAAUAACGUUAUAUAGUUAUAUAUAAUACUAAUAUAGUAAUGAUAUGUUAUACACUUAUUAUAUAUCUGGUUUUCUAAUAAUUAAAUUUAAUUUAGGUUUAUAAAAGGUAUUAUAUUAUAUAUAUUUUAUAAUACCUUUAUAUACUAUUAUUGUUGGGGAUAAGCUCAAUAAUAAUAUUAUAAUUUGUUGUUAAUUAAAGUAUAAUAGGUUUAAUAUUGACCAUUUUAUAUUUCAUUAUAGAAUUUCUUUGAUUAUUAUUUAUUUAUUAUACAUUUUUAAUAAUAUAUUAGAAUAAUAUAUUUAUCAUUUAAAUAUAUAUAAUAAUGAUAGAAUUAGUAUUAAAUAUUAUAUAAAAUAUAGUAAUUCGGCUAAUAUUAUCUUCACCUGUUUAUCAAAAACAUGUCCUUUUGAUUAAUAUAAAUAUAAGGUCUAACCUGCCCAAUGAUUAUAUAUAAAUUUAAUGGCCGCAGUAUCCUAACUGUGCAAAGGUAGCAUAAUCAUUUGUCCUUUAAUUGUGGACUUGUAUGAAUGGUUUGAUGAGGGAUAAUCUUUCUUUAUUUUAUUAUUAAUAACUUAAUUUUUAAGUCAAAAAGCUUAUAUAUUAUUAAGUGACGAGAAGACCCUAUAGAACUUUACUAUUAAUAAUAUAUUAAAUAUAUUGUUAAUUAAUAGAAAUUUAUAUUAUUAAUAGUUUUAUUGGGGAGAUAAUUAAAUUUAAUUAACUUUAAUUUAAUCUAUUUCAAUAAUUAUUGUAUAUAAUUGAUCCAUUUUUAAUGAUUAAAAGAUAUAGUUACCUUAGGGAUAACAGCGUAAUUUCAUUGGAAAGUUCAUAUUAAUAGUGGAGUUUGCGACCUCGAUGUUGGAUUAAAAUAAGUAUUAAGUGCAGAAGCUUAAUAACUAAGUCUGUUCGACUUUUAAAUUUUUACAUGAUCUGAGUUCAAACCGGCGUGAGCCAGGUUGGUUUCUAUCUUUAAUUAUAAAUAAUAUUUUAGUACGAAAGGACCAAAUAUUAAGAAUAAUUCUAUAUAUUUUAAUGAUUAAUAUUA